rnacentral:rRNA from 1 species
AACGAACGCUGGCGGCAUGCCUAACACAUGCAAGUCGAACGAAGGCUUCGGCCUUAGUGGCGCACGGGUGCGUAACGCGUGGGAAUCUGCCCUUUGGUUCGGAAUAACAGCUGGAAACGGCUGCUAAUACCGGAUGAUGACGAAAGUCCAAAGAUUUAUCGCCAGAGGAUGAGCCCGCGUUGGAUUAGGUAGUUGGUGGGGUAAAGGCCUACCAAGCCGACGAUCCAGAGCUGGUCUGAGAGGAUGAUCAGCCACACUGGGACUGAGACACGGCCCAGACUCCUACGGGAGGCAGCAGUGGGGAAUAUUGGACAAUGGGCGCAAGCCUGAUCCAGCAAUGCCGCGUGAGUGAUGAAGGCCCUAGGGUUGUAAAGCUCUUUUACCCGGGAAGAUAAUGACUGUACCGGGAGAAUAAGCCCCGGCUAACUCCGUG